UACGUAGGGGGCAAGCGUUGUCCGGAAUCAUUGGGCGUAAAGAGCGUGUAGGCGGUCCGUUAAGUCGGCUGUGAAAGUCCAAGGCUCAACCUUGGGAUGCCGGUCGAUACUGCCGGACUAGAGUUCGGAAGAGGCGAGUGGAAUUCCCGGUGUAGCGGUGAAAUGCGCAGAUAUCGGGAGGAACACCUAUGGCGAAGGCAGCUCGCUGGGACGUUACUGACGCUGAGACGCGAAAGCGUGGGGAGCAAACGGG
rnacentral:rRNA from 1 species